rnacentral:lncRNA from 1 species
GGUGAAUAUGAACAGAAAAAAGAUGAAGGAAUCAAUGAAAUCAUUGACCAGGAAAGCACAAAAGAAGGAUAUGAAUGCAAGGAAUGUGAUAACAACGAACUGCAACAAAAAUUGGCCAAGACCAUUUUGGAAAUUAUGAAUUAUAAUGGUGAGUUUCAUAAAAUUAAUUGCUUUUUUGUACAUUUCAUGAUAUAUGUUAUCUUUAGAGUAAUGAUGAAG